GAUGAAGAACGUAGCGAAAUGCGAUAAGUAAUGUGAAUUGCAGAAUUCAGUGAAUCAUCGAAUCUUUGAACGCACAUUGCGCCCGCCAGUAUUCUGGCGGGCAUGCCUGUUCGAGCGUCAUUUCAACCCUCAAGACCCCUUCGGGGGACUUGGUGUUGGGGACCGGCACAGGGGCCUGCCUGCUUGUCUUGCAGCGCCCUCUCCGCCCCCGAAAUGAAUUGGCGGCCUCGUCGCGGCCUCCCCUGCGUAGUAGCACAAACCUCGCAACGGGAACGUGACGGCGGCCACUGCCGUAAAACAACCCAAUUUUAUUAGAGUUGACCUCGAAUCAGGUAGGAAUACCCGCUGAACUUAAGCAUAUCAAUAAGCGGAGGA
rnacentral:misc_RNA from 1 species